GUGCUCACUUCGGCAGCACAUACACUGAAAUUGGAAUGAUACAGAGAUUAACAUGGCCCAUCGCAAGGAUGACACGCGAAUUCGUGAAGCAUUCCGUAUUUUU